rnacentral:rRNA from 1 species
UACGAAGGGGGCUAGCGUUGCUCGGAAUCACUGGGCGUAAAGCGCACGUAGGCGGGUUCUUAAGUCAGGGGUGAAAUCCUGGAGCUCAACUCCAGAACUGCCUUUGAUACUGAGGAUCUUGAGUACGGGAGAGGUGAGUGGAACUGCGAGUGUAGAGGUGAAAUUCGUAGAUAUUCGCAAGAACACCAGUGGCGAAGGCGGCUGACUGGUCCGGUCUGGACGCUGAGGCGCGAAAGCGUGGGGAGCAAACAGG